CUUGGAACAGGAGGUCAUGGAGGGUGAGAACCCCGUACAUGGCUUGGGUAUUGAAACACGAGGUGAGGCGUCCUCUAAGAGUCGGGUUGUUUGGGAAUGCAGCUCAAAAUGGGUGGUAAAUUUCAUCUAAAGCUAAAUAUUGGCGAGAGACCGAUAGCAAACAAGUAGAGUGAUCGAAAGAUGAAAAGUACUUUGAAAAGAGAGUGAAACAGUACGUGAAAUUGUUGAAAGGGAAGCGUUUGGCAUCAGCCCAUGGCGGUGGUCGAACAUCUGGGCUUCUGCCUAGUGCUUUUUGCUGCCGUUGGGCCAGCGUCGGCUCUGCCUGCCGGAGAAAGGCCUUGGGGAAGUGGCUCUCUUC
rnacentral:rRNA from 1 species